GUAGGUGAACCUGCGGAAGGAUCAUUACAGAUUUGGAUGUGUGGGUGUUGUUUGGCUGGGUGGUGGUGGAUUGUGUGAGUGUGGGUUGCAUGAGUGUGUGCUGCAGAUGGCUGGAUGUGAUCAGACGAAAUCAUUCACCAAUGCAGCAUAUCGAGCAUGUCUAUACGAGCAUAUCAUCAACACUUUGCCACACAACAACAAACAGCACAACAUCAGCAGCUGCUCAGGCCUCGCAGCCUGGGUGUGCAUGUUUGCGCUUGCUUGUUUGACAGUAUCAUCAAUGUAACCAACCAAAUAAUACAACUUUUAACAACGGAUCUCUUGGCUCUU
rnacentral:misc_RNA from 1 species